rnacentral:rRNA from 1 species
GAUGAACGCUGGCGGCGUGCCUAAUACAUGCAAGUCGAGCGAACAGACGAGGAGCUUGCUCCUCUGACGUUAGCGGCGGACGGGUGGGUAACACGUGGAUAACCUACCUAUAAGACUGGGAUAACUUCGGGAAACCGGAGCUAAUACCGGAUAAUAUAUUGAACCGCAUGGUUCAAUAGUGAAAGACGGUUUUGCUGUCACUUAUAGAUGGAUCCGCGCCGCAUUAGCUAGUUGGUAAGGUAACGGCUUACCAAGGCGACGAUGCGUAGCCGACCUGAGAGGGUGAUCGGCCACACUGGAACUGAGACACGGUCCAGACUCCUACGGGAGGCAGCAGUAGGGAAUCUUCCGCAAUGGGCGAAAGCCUGACGGAGCAACGCCGCGUGAGUGAUGAAGGUCUUCGGAUCGUAAAACUCUGUUAUUAGGGAAGAACAAAUGUGUAAGUAACUAUGCACGUCUUGACGGUACCUAAUCAGAAAGCCACGGCUAACUACGUG